rnacentral:lncRNA from 1 species
CUUUUUUCAAAAUAGAAGAUGAAAGAGAGAAGUUUAUCAGAAUGGUUUUUAAGAAAGCUAUCCCUAGAGGCAGAGGGUUUAAUUGAGGAAGUAAGAUUUUAUCUACAGGAUCUGUGAUCUUGUGGAAGGUUGGUUUGUGAUGGAAACAAAGAUGAAGCAGAGUAGUAUCUCGAGGAAUCAACACAUUGCAGAAGGAUGAUGGGACCAAGAGCAAUGAGGCCGGGAGAGAGACGAGAGUGUUCAUCCUGAGAGUGCUUGGGCGUUUAUGAAGACAGGGACAGAAAAAAGGAGACAGUUUUACAUACAGAUUUAUAAAGUGUCAUUUGAGGUAUGCGAAAUAUUACAAAGGGGAUUGAAUUCUAAUCCUGCCUCUGCCAUACUAUUUUGUAAAACUGGGAAAAAAAAUAAAUCCUCUGAGCCUCAGACUCCUCAGCUGUACAAGAGAAAAAUGAUAUCUACCUUGAGGAUUGAGGUGAGAAUUAAAUUUUAAAAAUACAAUUACCUAAAAGAGGGGUUAACACAAAAUGGGUGGUCAAUAUAUCUAUUAUUGUUAUUAUUAUUUUACUGUUGCUUAUACUACUGCUGUUGGUACUCACUGACACUGAACUCUCUUGGUUCUUUCAUCUUCUUGCCCCCUCCAUCGACUGUUUUCUACUUCUUCUCUCUUUGUCCACACCUUAUAUUCAGGCAUUUCUUGAUCUUUAGCCAUCAACCCUCUUUUAUUCUCAAACUAUGUUCCUUCCCCAGAUGACCUCUUCACUUUUAUGACUUAAAAUAUUGCCACAGUGUUGAUGACAUCUUAACCUAUGUGUGUUCACUUGCGUCCUUGCAUCUAAAUCACAUCGUGAAAGUCGCAGAAAUGCAGAAAUAUAAAGUAUGCCUCUGAGAGGUUUGCAGGGAAAGAAGAAAGAAGACUAGGGAUGGUGGCUGAGGAGAAAUACAUGAUUGUGCAAAACUAGCUUUAUUAUUUUGGGAUUUUUUUGUUGUAUUUUUAAAGAUGAGGGAGUUUUAGUUAAUUUAUACACUAAAAGAGGAAGUUGCUGAAGGAAAUAAUAUUGAUAAAAGAAAGAGAGAGAUGAUUGAAGAGGCAAGACAUCGGGAGAUUUAGAAACCCCGGGUCAGGGAGAUGGUGGAGGGACAAUUUAGUCUGAUGUGUGAGUGUGAUGGGCCCAUGAGGACACAGAUUCCCCAGAAAUGAAUUAGCAGGAGGAGAGGAUGAGUCAGCUAUGGAGCUGCAUUGAAAGAUUCACUCACUGCUUCAGUGUUUUGUUUCCAGAAGCCGCAACUCUCAGGCGUUGGUUGGCAGUUGGUAUGUACAGUGCUUCUUAUGUCCAAGGAGCCUAUGUUAGAAUAGAUAUGAAGUCUUUUUAGUAAUUUCUGUGUUGAUUAUUUGACUAAGGAGCCAUCUGCACAUCUGACAAAAUGACACAAGGUAAUUUGAAGUCCACCAGGCCUUUUCCAACACUAGAGAAGCAAAUGAAUAGAGGAAGUGUGUGUGUGUGUGUGUGUGUGUGUGAACAGAGCUGCUAGAUAAAAUUUUUUGCACACUAUGAAAUUCUAAGACAUCUUUCCAAUAUUUUCUCUUCUAGCCUAACACACAGAGAGGCUUCUGUGAGGCUGUCCCUUCCCCGGCUGUCUGGGGAAAGUCCUCAGAAUGCAGCAAACACACACAGGGAGGUGCUCUGUGGACUUCUGAAUGCCUCCAAUGGCUGAAGACAGUAGGUCAUUCAGAACAACGCUAAUGGCAAAACUGCCGGAAAUGGGCCACACGUCCUAACUCAAAUGAUCCUUUCUUUUUAAAAAGUGGUGAAAAAUGACUGUGUGAGACCCCAAUCCUGCUCUAACGUACGAAUAGGAUUUGCAUUCAUAGUCUGUAGACUACAGUCUGAAACAAGUCUAAUCUGAAACAGCUGUGUUGUAGAACAGUAAAACUGAUGGCCAGUGGAAGCAAUUCCAGAGGGCCACAAGAUGGCAGCCUCUUCAUGCUUAUCUCUUGUGUGGUUGCCCUGCAUCUUCUGGGUUUGAUUUUAGGGGCAAGAACCUCAGGCGAGAGGGGAGGACUGGGGGUAGGGAUUCAAUCAAGAGUCGUAUAUAAAUGAAGAACAAUUUAUUUUCCUUUUUAAGUUUAGACAUACAUGCAUACAUACCUACCUACCUGCCUGUAUACAGACAUACAUUUUAUGUAUAUGUAUACAUAUAUAUAUAUAUUUAUAGUUAAUUUAUAUUAUUUUGUUUGUCCUCAGGAAGAUACUGAAAGCACAAGUGUAUUUGCAGAGCUCUGCCCCAAAGUGCCCUCUGGGCUGACUGCUGGCCCAGUGUGAGCCUGGAACGGAACAGAGACAGUCUUCCCGGUGGUGGCAGAGGUCCUGCCUCCCCUGCAUGGAAGAAUUCCUUCUUGUUCUUUUUUUUCUUUAGUCUUCUACGUGGUUGAAAAUUCACUUUAUCUUUUAUUGACUUUAAAUUCUCAUUUUAAUUCCAUUUUCUCCUUUUACUAUGCAUUUUUAACUGCGUAAUUUAUCUUACCACAAUUUUAGAAAAGGCAAAAUAACUUCAUUCAGUAAAGUAAGCGUGUUUGAAGUUCCUUUGCAAAAUCACUUUACACGCCAUGUAUACUAAACAAGGAAAAAUUUUAAAAUACGAAAAAAUUGAAAAAGAAUAACGUAAGACAAUAUAACAUUAUUACCUCUCAAACAUAAACCCUGUUAACCGUUUUAUAACAUUCCUCGUCUAUAUAGAUAGAAUUAUUUUUCAAAGUAGGAUUUUACUAUAUAUAGAUGCUUUUGUAGAUUUUUAAAAUAUUUAACAGCGUAUUAUAUACAUUUUUAUGUGUCAAAAAUGUGCUUCCACGUCAUAAAUUUUAAUGGUUAUACAGUAUUCAUUGUGUUAAUAUGUAUAGUAUGUUUAAUUAAGCCUUUACAAAAACAUGUUUUUGAAAAUACUGUAAUUCUACAGAAUAGUUAAGUAAGAAAGGAGAGAAAAGGAGAAUAUGAGCAAAGGAAGAGGAGAUGCCAAAUAGAAAAGUGGAAACACUGAACAAAGAGAUGCCAAGAAAGGCAAGAAGAGCACAGAGGAGAAGGAGUGCGUGCCAGGCAGAACGAGGUGAAGGAGGAGAAGGGGGCAGAGGUGAUGCCCAGGCCACCCCGGCUGGGGGCGGGCUGCUCAUUGGCGUGAGAGGUUUCAGACUGUCGGCCUGUAUUUUUGCUCCUUUGAAAUAGUCCAUUGCUGACAGACAGGGCUCUGUCGUUGUCCCUUCUCUUAAAGGCCGGUAGAUUCUCCCCAAAGAACAUGGAAGAGCAAUGAGAAGGGCAGAUUUUAACAGUUGACAUUAUCCUCUGCUUGUGGAACAGAGGAAGGUUAACCUAUGAUUUGGAAUUCAGCAGAAGGCCAAAUCUUCAGAGGGAAAAAAGACACAAAAACAUAUUUCUACUUCUAGUUCAACAAUAAGAUUGCGGAAAGAACACUCACCUCUGACAUGAUAAUUUAUGUGAAAUGAUGCCCAUGAAAUAGAAUCCUAUCGUAUUUAGAGUGAAAAGAUAUGUGCAGAUAAAAGGCACAUAUGCACACACAUCUUAGUAAAUGCACAUGAAGAGAUGAAUAAGGGUACAGACUGAUUUGGGACUGGCUGUAAAAGGGGAGAUCUAGGGCAUAGUAAAAAAAUAAUUUGACUUUUUACUUGAUAUUUUUAUAGCUUUAGGAUUUUUAUAGGGAGCCAUGUAUUGUUUUUCUAAAUAAAAAUAAAUGGAUAAAAAGAGAAAAUCUCACUGAGCACAGCUUAUCCAUGCACAGAAGGGAAGGGGGACAGUUCUGCAAAAUGCACAGGUCACAGCUGACAGGGACAGCCCUCCGGUCUCCCUCCGUUGAGCACCUUCUCCAGCAUCCUCAAAAGGCCUUCUUCUCACCUGGUGCCAUGUGACUCUCGCGUCAUGUGUUGCAUUUUAAGACUCUCUUGAAGAAAAUUCUUUGUGAGGCUUGGAUCUGGACCUCUUUAUCUUCAAAUAGUUGCAGAUGGUGGAGUGAGGUUUCAUGAAGAAAUAGCGUGGAUAGCAGACCUGAGUCAUUUACACAUGAGUGGCUUCAGAGGGAACAGAGAUUUUAAAAUGAAGACCUUUUUUGGGAGUAAAAUAAUAGGAGGAGAAGGUAAAGCUAAGGGAAAUGUCAAGUUCCUCGUGUUCCAAAAAUGAAGGUGGAAGAAUGGGGAUUGACCCACUAUAACCAUUCCCCCAAAUCUUACAUCAUGGGCUCCUAGGAAUCUACACAGAUUAUAAUAGGGGUCUGCAAGCCAUUUUCAAUAUUUCUUCAAAUCUAAUAGUAAUCAUACAUUUUACCAAAUAAGGCUGCUUAACUUAGCUAAAUAUCAAGAGUUUUCCCUUGUCUGGAAGCAUCUCAGCUCACUUGGAUAAAGCAUGCUAUUUUCUGACAUAGACCUUCUUAUGUUUUUAAUAACAAUGGGAAAAUAAUUAACCAUACUUAAUAAAUCGAUCCUUUCCCCUACUUUCAACAUUGAGUCUCAUCUAUUUCUUGAAUUCUACCCGUUGUUUCAUGUUCCAGUUUCUAUCCCUUCCAUGUCCCACCUAGAAACCCAUCACAUUAAUUAUAUAUCAGGACCCUCCUCUGUACCUGACACUUCUGAGCAGCUGGUAAUUCCUACCUAGAAUUUCAAGCUUCUCUUCCUUGACUCCUGCAGAAGUAGAAUAGAAUCUACUUCUUCUUGAUUAGAAUGUUCUCUUUCCUGCAAUCAGCAGAAUCUUUGCUCAGGACCCUUGGCAAGUAUCUAGUGGAUGGGUGAUUUUCCAGCAGCAGCCACCAGAGACACCUAGGCUCCUGAUCUAGAAAAAUUAAAUUAAAUUAAAAACCCAGAUUAUUGGUUAUCCCAUUUGGGAACUUGGUAAGAUUAAAGUUAAAAAGCUAAGGAAAGCUUUUAAUAAAAAUUGUGGGGGCUUAUCUUAAACAUGAAUAUUUUGAAUGCAGUCUCAUCUUUAGGUUCUAAAGUAACAGGAAGAUAUCCCUUCUUCUUACAUAGUCAGUUUCUCUCUCCAUGAGAGUUUUCAAAGAAUAACGUAGCAAUUGACCACUUUGGGGGCAACUAAAUUAUUUUAGAGACUCUUGCAGAGAGUCAAGAUGAAAGCUAAUUCUUGAUCUCUAGCAGUUUACAAGCGUUACAAGCAGGUCUGUAAAAUACAACAUAAAGUUGACUAAAAUACGUGCAAAGUUCUAUGGAAGUACACAGGUAAAAUGACUUUAUGUUUUUUAGAGAAACAUUUUAGCUGGUCCCCAGAGACUUAGAUUUUUUUUUUAAGAAUAGAAAGAAAGAGAAUUCCAGCUGCAGGGAACAGCAUGGGCAAAGGCUUGGAGGCAUGAAAAAUGCCUGAUAAAAUGGACAAUGACAAGUACAGUGUUAUUGCUAGACUUAAAAGUGGAGGGGACCAUAAUGGGAAGAAAGUCUGAAAAGAAUUUCAAGGCCAGACCAUACAGUGCCCUGAAUCCCAGGCCAUGGAGAUUCAUUUCUUUCUACAUUCAGUGAGGAGCUAUUGAUGGAAUUGGAGCAAGAAGUAUUUUCAGAACUGUGCCUUAGAAAGAUCGAUCUGGCAGCAAUAGUAAGAUAGAUUGGAGGCCAGGAAACCAAUUAUAGGAUUAAAAUAAUACCAAUGGCAGAUGUUUAAGACCUAAAAUAGUACAUUAUGAAAAGAAAGGGACCGUACUCUGCCCACGAAAACAUCUGUAGUUUGAGAAGGGUGGCACUGAGAUUUUCCUGUGGUUGUCAACUCCAUCCCUGUCAUGGCCCAAAGGGAAGAUCUAAAGUAAAUAUUUCUCUUUAAAAAAGAGCUUCAUAUCAACAAAUAUAAAGAAAAAAUGUCUUGGUGUGCUUAAGAUCAUCAACAGCGACUCUCAAAGAGACAAAGUCCUGGCAAGUGAGGCCUGAUGCUCCCAUUUCCAAAUGCUGGUUUAUCCUUUAAAUUGUACCUACAAUACAGUCAAAGAAAGGGAAUAGGAGAAUUUACUGCCUCUGUAGAGAAAAUGUCAUCCAUUUGCCUCUUCAUAGGAGGGUGAGUUUCACAAGAUUACCCUGGGAAAUUAAUUUUGAAAUAAACAAUUUAAAAUCCAAUCAUGACAAUUUAGGCCACAGAAAUUAGAAACUUCAAACCAGAGAAUGUGAGGACUUACAGGACAAUUAUACGUUGCCUACUCUGAAGUUUCCUAUCUUUUCCUCUUUUAUUUAUUUUUUUCACUGAGUUGAGAGCUUCACUCUUGAUCAUGACCAAGAUGACCAUGUUUUGUUACCAAUGUCUGGUCCACGGAUCACAUCCCAGAAAACCCUCAAAGUUAUCAAUUGCCAGGUAUCAUUUUUCAUCACCUUUAACUAACCAGCAUGAGCUCAAUGUAUUAAUGAAUUCCAAACAAAAUCAAACUCAAUAGUGAUUACUUUCAUGGCCUUAUGAUUUCCAUUGAACUUUCAGAGAUAUUAAAAACAAUUUAACAAUUCUUGUCACUACCUCUUGUUCCUAAAUCCUUAAGGAUCCCAGGGACCUCAGACGAGGAACAGCAGUUCUAACCUUAUCUCAGAUGAAAAUGAGGCACGGAGAAGGGAAGUGCUUUCCAGGGACAUGUAAGCAUUCUCUGCAUCCUAUAACUCAAUCUUAAGUAGCUUUUCAGGCCAAGGAAAAGAGACGGAUCUUGUGAUCUGUCUCAGAGAUUCCUUGCGUCCCCAGACUGUGAGGCUGAUUUCCAUGCUGUUUGGCUCCUGACUUAUAGGUUGAAGGCCAAAGGCUGCCCCUUGAGCCCUGCUCUUGUCUGUAGGUUUUUCCCAAAAAGUGUUUAAUUGUACCAAAAACGCAGCUGUCUUUGAUCCCACAACUUGCUUAGCUCAUUUCCCCAGGUUGCUUUAACAUUGCCAUUUGGACACAUUACUGCUCUCUUUGGAUCACUUUCAGGUAAGCAUGACAAGGAAAAUUUAAAAAUAAAAUAAAAUAAAAUAAAAAGAUGAGGAAGAAAAAAAACAGAAACAGAAACAAUGAAAAGAAGCAAGACAGGGUUGAUUUUCCUGGAGGGAAAACAUAGUUGCCUGGUGAUUUCGCCUUAGUUCUGGGAAAGAGCCCUGGCGGUGUCGCAGCCCCUGCUCUGCUGUUCCUCUGCUUCCCUUGUUUCUCCUUUACUCCUGCUCUCUUGUCUCAUGCUGAGGGGUGGGACCCGAGGCAUUUCAGGCACCAGGUUUCUGUUGAAAGACUCCUGUCCGUGCAAAGGAGGAAUACAAUCAGAUUGUUUGAUUCUUAACUUAUGAAUUUGAUUGAAGAGAUGCUAAAAAUUAAUGAUUAGAAAAAAAUUUGCAAUGAUUAGGGAUCAUGUCGAUGAGUAGAUAGAUGAGGAUGUAUUAUUUAUAUCAGCAGUGUUUUCCAAUGCGCAAAAUGUUGUGUGCUUGUAGAAAAAAGACUCAGAACCCCCUGUCUGGUCUCACAUCAUAUGAUCCAGCGUCUUUUAGAAUUCCAUUCCAAAUCUUUAUUGAAUGUAUUUCUUAAUGCCUUCCAUGACAGUAAAUAUUGGCCUGCUUUGACUUUGAGAAAGAGCUUUCUUACAAUCAGCAGAAUUUGGUCUCCCUGUGGGAUGGCCCUUUUGUCCUAAUCCUACCCCUUUUAAUCAUACAGAAUAAGUUAACGCCUUUCUGCUCUGAUGGAUCUUUCUGAAAUUUCAGAGAUGCUAUCACAGCUCCUCUAAGUUCUCUCUUCUCCAGAAAAAAUUUUCCUAGUUUCUGAAAUUGUUUGUCAUAAGCCUUGCCUCUAGAUGCAUUCCAUGUGUCAGUCCCUCUGUUUUUCAAGUCUCCCAGGAUUAGACACAACUCCUUUUUGAAAUUAAUACAAGCAAUAUAUGUGUAUUGAAAAAAAUUGGAAAAUACAGAAUGGCAAAAAGUAGCUUUAAAUUACUUAUGAAGAAUUUCUAUACAAAAAGGGCUGCUUUUGAUAUUUUGGCAUUUAACCUUCCAAAAUUAUUUCCAUGCAAACAUAUACUGUUAAAUUUUAGCAGGAUAGUGGGGUGAGGCUGAACUUAAAAAGCGAUGCUAUCUAUGUCUAUCUCUGAAAAUAGGGACACAAAAAAUCACUUUGGAGUAGAUACUUUUCCAGGAUGUGUCACUUAACUGAUUCCUCAUAGUUACGUAAAUUUAAGCCUACUUCUCACUCAAUUCUCUAAAGCAGAAGUCAACAAAUGGUUACUCCCUGUAAGUACCAGGGAGUCAAUGGAGUAGGGGUUGAAGGCUUUGUGGGCCUUGUGGGGUCUCUCUUGCUGUUGCUUCUCUUCUCCUUCCUCCUCCUGCUCCCUCCCCUCCACCUCCUCCUCCUCCUCCUUCUCUCUUGUUCAUUUACAAACUCAAAAAAAUGUUCAAACCACUCUUAGCUUACAGACCAUACGGAAACAGGUCACUGACCAGAAUUUGCCAGGAAGCUAUAGAUUGCCCAUCCAUUGUCCAGCUUCCCAAUUUCUCCCAAAGACUGCCCCCUCACUACUCUCUCAUAUAUAGAGCUGCGUCCUUGGGAAGAUUUGGUAAAUUUGCAUAGCGAUCAAAGAAUUUCCUGGGAAGAAGGGAAUAGAGACCUCAAACACCACCUCUUUGAGAUAAAAUUUUAUUGGAAUCUUUCUGAUAGGUUGGGAUGUUCCCAGCUGAAGAGUGAUAGCUGGAAAGCCCAAGAGCUCCAAAUCCAAGCUGAGCUAGCUAUGAGAGAUUAGCCAUCUAGAUUAUUGGCCUGGACCCUUAAAUAUUUGGGGAAGAGAACAUUAGUUAGUCAUGGUUCAUGACUAACUAAUCUAGUUUAAAAAAAGCUUAUGCUUUGGAAUUAAUGACUAAGGAGAUGAGUUCAUAUUCUUGGAGAACUAUAAUCCUCAAAGGAACUCAAAUAGGGAGCUCUCCGUUUUAGUCAUAGAUUAUGUUGAAGUAAAAAUAACUCCAAGUCUCUGCGGUUUAACAAGAUAAGGGCUUAUGCGUCACUUCCAGUUUGAUGGACAACUCUCCCAGACAGCUUUCAUAUACAGCUCUCCUCCCACAUGAUCACUGGGAUCUGGGCUGCUUCCAUUUUGUGAUGUCAUCAUCUGUAAUGCAUAAUCCCGUUUGCCAUGGAGCGGAAGAAAUAGCACGAGCAAUCAUUCAGGGUACUAUGUUCGGGCCUGAAAUUGGCCUAUAUUACUUCCUUUUACAUGCACUGGUCAGAAUCUAUUCAUAGGGCCCCAACUUAACUUCCAAAAAGACUAGGGAAUAUAGUUGUCCUAUGUGCCCAGGAAAAAAAAUAUUGUUUAAUAUCUAGCCAAUUUUGGCCAUAUUAGCUUUACCAACGUGUGGGUGUGGGAUGGGUUCGGAGUGGCACAUGAGACCUUUGCAAAGAUGUGGAACAGCAAGAGUGCAAUCACAGCAGUGAUAAGUAUGUGCCAUAACUUUUAGUUCUUUAAUUCUUUUUUUGCCUGGUGUUUGGAAGCCAGGUGUAAUUGGGCCCUUUGAACUGAGAGUUUUCAGAUACUAGAAGAUAGAGAGCAAGAGAAACAAAACAUCCUACCAAACUACAGCAACGAAGCCUUGAGUAGUUUAUUCAAAAAUGCUAUAUUUGUGACCUUAUAUAUGCCCUGAGCUGGUGAAGUGGGCUCUACUCAUUACAAAUAUAUGUAUAUGUGCGUGUGUGUGUCUUCAUAAACAUACUAGAAUAAUCUAUCUUCAUCUCAAAAAUAUGUUACGGCCAGUUUUCCUAGUGUAGUCAGGUUAGAAUAUAUCUAUCACUUUUCUCAUGUUUGAUUCCUUGGCUAUCAGUAUAGCUUAAGUUUGAUGAGCAUUUGGUGGCUAAUUUAUGCAAUUCGAACCCAAUGGUGUCUAAAAUCCUGAAUCUCUUUCUCACAUGCACACUAUAUCUCUGCUAUUUUGUGCUUGAACAGUUUGCCUUUGGUGGUUAACAUUUGUUGUUUUACAGCACCCAGAACCUAUUUUUCCUUCCUAUUGAUAACAAUAACAAAUUUCAUUUGGAAAAUUACAUCUUCACGUGACUCAGGGUGAGCGGAGAGCAUAAUUAAAAUGCUAUUCGCUUCCUUAGCCUAGAAAUGGGCAUAUAAUGGAGCGCUUAGAUUCUGUGUGCCCAGGAUAGUUACUCUCAUACAAAGUGAAGUCAGAUUGAGAAUAAAAAUAGUCACACAUUUUCAUUCCAGGAGGGGCUGUUCAUGAGAAUCAGAGAUGUUCUUGUUAUCUAAAUAACAAGACUGAACUUAUUCCUAUCAUUUUUGAGGUAAGUUCUCCAGAUUUCUCAUAAUUUCUAGGAGCUACCUGAUAUCAUUCCAAUAAAUUAUUUUUUUUAUUGAGAAUAGCCAGGUUGCAUUCUGUGACUUGCAAUCCAAGAAUACAUAAAUGAAACACUCGAGUAGAGGACUUAUAUUCUUUUUCAAUUAAAACUUUUUUUUUUUAUUUGUGGCCUAUUGAUCCACACUAUCUAGAUGAUUUUUUUAAUCUUUUUUCUGUCUAAUAACUAUUCCCUAACCGAUUCUGUUUCAUUGGAUCUGCAGACAUGGUGAAUAUGUCCUUAAUAUUGUCAUCGAAUGUCUAAUAAAUAUAUCGCUAUCUGUAAGGAGCACCUUUUCCCUCUCCUCUAAUUUUUAAAGACAUUUUGGUAACUUCAUAUGUGCAAAUAUUUUAUAUGAAAUUUUUUAAAAAUUAACUUUUCUGUAUGCAUACUCAUCCCUUGGUGUCUUUUUCUCACCCUUCUUAGUGGAUCUCUAAAAAUUUAGAAUGUUUAUGUAGCCCAAUGUGGAAAAGAAAGGGUACAAUUGACCCAAAGUGUCAGUAACGAAAUUAGAGUAAGUUUCUCUUAGUUAUCUAUUUCUGCAUAGCAAAUAACCUACAAACCUAAUGACUUAGAGGAAGAAUAAAUGUUUAUUAUUUAUCCUGUAGUCUACGGGUCGGGAAGUUGGGAGCGGCUGGCUGAGCAGUCUGGCUCAAGGUCUCUCAUGAAGUUGUAACCAUCUAAUGGCCACAACUGCAGUUACCUGAAGGCGUGACUGAAGCUGGAGGAGCCACUUCCAAGGUGACUCACUCAUGUGGCUUGCAAGCUCAUGUUGGUGGUUGGUUGGAGGUCUCAGUUCCUCUCUGAUUGGCCUCUCCACAGGGCUACCUGAGUGACCUCAUGGCAUGGCCACCAACUUCUCCAAGAGCAAUUGGUCAAAGAGAGAAAAGAGGAAGCUUCAAUGCCUUGUAUGACCUAGUCUUGUAAGACACAUACUUUUACUGCCACCAUAAUUUAUUGGUCACACAGACCAGUGCUGAUUCAUUGUGGGAGAAGAUUACACAAGGGCAUAAAUACCAGGAGGCAGAGAUCACGGGGGACAUUUUGGAGGCUGACUACUGCCGUCAGUGACUGAAUGUGGUCAGUAUUUAACACUGCAAUUCCUUUAACCACCUCGCCAGCCAAUGGGCCAUGUAGACUACACACUGUAAUAGCGUUGCUAUGUGUGGGAGGAAAGCACACGCCAUCCACUCAAGGAGUUUUUCAAACUACAUGUGACAUUCCUCCUCAUUUGCCAAGAUUCUGAUGUGCCUUCUGUUAGUACACACUCCAAGGUUUUAGAAUUACCAUUCUAUUGAAACAGCAUUAAUUAAAAGAUACAAGUGGCUAAAUUCCUUACAUCUGUGUAGAAAAACUUAAGUCCCUGAAAGUAAUCCCUCAACCCUCUCACUUUUCAUAGACUCAGACCUGAGCUACUCACCCUGACUCACUCCAUACACCCAUCACAAGCUGUUUCCAACCCCACUCAACCUCAAUAUGGCACUUUGGUGUUGUUUUCUUGACUAUGACAUUGGCCCCAUCCCUGCCUAGAUGUCAGUUUAUCCCCCUGCUUCAUCACAUCCUCAAGAACCCAUGUGUGACUCCUGCAGAGAGCAGUUCCUGGCCAAAAACCAGAGAACUCUUUCUGUGGUUGACCUUGUGAGCUAUGGCGGCCAAGCAGUGAUGCUUCUGUGCCCUGGGGAAAUCGUGUGGUACUGAGUCAGGAAAACGUAUACCCUUCUGGUCUUCUGGGAAGAACACACGGAAGUGCGGGUACAGUGAGGAGGAUGGGGGCACAGUGUUCUUUGGUGCCUUGAUGGAUGGCAGUUUCAGGAGUGCUGGGAAGCCAUGUAGACAGCAGAGAUUUCACGGAAAUGGUCAGAGGUAGAAAAUGCAGGGAAGUCCCGUCCAGGACCUACAGGAACAGGGGAUUCACCACACGAGAGGAAGGAAUAGGAGAAGCUUCUUACUGACUAUAAAUGGCAUACUUGCUCAUAAGUACAUGUGAGAAAUCCCCUGCAGACCCCUUGAAAUAGUUGGGAGCCAAUUUGAGGGAAUCUGGAAGUCCUGUGUGAGCAGGUCAAAGCAAGAAUCAGUAAACUCAAUUUUCUGUUUUCAGGCUCUCCUUUGUUCCCACAAGCUGACCCAUUCUGGUAGAUCCUAGAAUUCAGUGUGCAGUUUGUCAGUUUUGAUGAAGAGAUCGUGUGUUAGCAGGUGACUGGCUCUCGUUCCUGAAUGGAAUCUGACAAGAGAAGCAAUCAUGGCAUUACAUCCUCUUGGAAUAUAGCUUUACAGAUUGCAAAUUCCUUUUACACAUACUACCUCAGCUGAGCUGCACAGAAACCUGUGAACAAGGGGCUAUUGAUACACUCACUAUAGAGACAUCAAAAAUGAAAACCCUAGCUGUUGAAAGAUUUGUUGAAGGGUGUGCAGUUGGUAAGCAGUAGGCUUGCAAUUGCAGCACAGAUUUGUGACACUGAGUCCUACGCUCUUUCUGUUACAACAGUGUUUUCAAGCUGUGUUCUGUUGAGCCCUAAAAUCUCACAAAUCUGUCUAAAGAGAAAUGUGGGGGAGCAAAAGAGAGGCAGAACAGGUGGGCUCUCUCCCACCACUUCACCAGAGAAGUUAUGACUUUAUCGCUUAUGUAUUUUGGGCUUUCCUAACAUAUUGACUUGAAAUAAAAGGUUUAUGGCUAGCAUAAAAUUUAAAAACCCCUGCACCAACACACACCGUCUUGUGAUGCAAUGGAUGGGAUUUUAGAUUGGUUAGCAAGAGAGUAACUCAGGCCUGUCCAAAGCACAAGGCAGAGUUUGAUUUUCAGAAGUGGAAUUUGAGCUUGACUACAUGCAAACAUAAUUUGAUAAAAAUAAUUUGAUAAAAGACAAGAGUUAAAUCUGGGAAAUGUUUUUCAUUUAAAAUACACUCAUUAUGUUCUUACUGUGUUUCAAGUGUUGUGUCCGCGCUUUAAUUCCUCCUGCUACAGAUAAGAUUAGUCGUAAAUCUAGUGCACGGUACAAAUAUAGCUGGAAGUCAAGCCGUUCUACGUGUGAUGAGCAGGGCUGUCUGAAGGGAUGUUCUACAACGAGGGAAAUGUUCAUAUUUGCGCUAUCUAAUAGGGUAGCCACUAGCUGCAUGUGGCUAAGGAGCACUUGCAAUGUAGCUAGUGUAACUGGUGAACUGCCUUUUUAAUUUUAUUUCAUUUGAAUUUAAAUAGGCACGUGUGGCUGCUGGCUACAGUGCUCAACAGCGCAGCCAAGAAGCCUCAAAGACAAAUAAGCCUAAUGGUGCCUAAAGACAGCACCAUCAUCGCCACCACCAUUAUCAUCACUUCUGUCCUCACAGUCAUGACCACCACCACCACCACCAUCAGCAGCAGCAGCAUCAUUCUGAUCACUGCCACACGAGCUCUGCCAACCGUCGCUGGAUUGCUGCAGCAACUUAAGUGAUCUGUCUGCUUUCAUUCAUGCUUCCCUCCAAUCUGUUAUAACCAGAGUGACCCUGAGAAAGGCACAUGUGAUCUUACCACUGCUCAGCUUAAAAUCCUGCGUAGAGUAAGAUGUUGAAAGUGGGGAUUAUCUGUGGAGACUUCAAGGAUGCUUUGAUUGGAAACACCAGUUUAAUUGGAAGAGGGUUAUGGUUCAGCAUGAUGAAACAAAGAACAACAGAACCAAAUCAAAUUGGAAGAACGGCCAUCAGAACAGUAAGUCUAGAGAUUGUUCUCUGAGCUGGAUGAAAGUGAAAAAUGAGAAACAGAAGAAAACAAAAUUGUUCAUUUGAGACUAUGACACUUAGUAACAGAAAUGAAAGACCCAGUUUUCUAGGGAAAGGCCUACCUCCUGCAUGGAUGGAACAAGAGACCACUCACAGAAUGGGAUUUGAAGGUAAAUAAAGCAAAGCUUUCAAUCACUCUCACCAACUUGCGUGCCUCAUCCCCUCGGACAUUCUCUGUCAGAGUCACUCCAUUGACUAGAAAGAGUCUUGUUAAAAUACUGGACUUACGCUGUAUGCGAUCAAUCUAUAUAAAGAUAACAUGCCGACAUUUGUCUGAUACCACCCUUAGUAAACACCUGUUACUUUUGCCUGCCACAAUCCUCUCCCUUCUUUUGGUCACAGGACAUGAAAUUUCCUUGGGGACACUAUGCCUCUUCCAUUUUCAAUCCAUGUAGUUAAAGUAGGACUGACUCACCUUCUGCUUCUAAAGGAAAGCGUUUGGUCCACAUCUGUCAAUUACUAUUGGGAAUUCUUAGAGAAUCUAGCCCUCUGAGUGGUGAAGAUAUGGGCAUACGACCACCCAAGCUGGGUCAAUGAGAGUACUACCCAGGACUUCACUACAUCAACUGGGAAAUGAUUGACCCACUACAGUUUCUAAGCUGGUGGGUUGUAAGCUUAAAGCUUUUGGUGAUUGCUUCUGUCACUAGAUCCUGAGAGCCAACCUGAGAAAUGAGGCAAUACCAAGGAGCAUGAAGUUGAGAAGUAAAGAAAGACAGAUGAUUGAUGACAAAAUGGCACUAUCUGGACUCAAUUAUGCCUGAAACUGUACUUUAAGAAAUGUGUACUGACAUCUAUUUGACUGGCUUUUUUUUUUUUCCUUACAUGGUUUUAAUCACUUCUAGCAGAAAGAGUCCUAGUGCAAGUCCAUAAGGGAAAAAUUUCACUGUUUGCAAAAAAUAACAUUUCUAGAGCACCUGAAAUUUAGAAACCAUUUCCACAUAUAUGCUUCUGUUUAAUUCUCAUGAUAGAUCUGUAAAGCUGUUAAUUUUGUCCACCUUGUUAAAAGAAAAUUAAGCUCAAAGAUAAUCAUUUACCCAAGAACCCAGAACUAGUAUGUGGUGGGACUUGGUCUAAUCAUUUAUUCUUUUUGACAAAUAUUUAGGGAGUACCAACUCUGUGCCAGAUGCUUGCUGAUUGCUUGGACAGCAACAACAAACAAUAGAGAGAACUGACAUCAUGUUGCACUCACUCUAUGCCAGACACUGUUCUCAUCACUUGCCCCACAUUCACCUACUUAAACUUGACAAUAGCCCUUUGAGGCAGAUAGUAUUAUUACCGGCCUCCAUUUUUUUCACAAAGACAAUUUUUUAGAGCAGUUUUAGAUUCACAGAAAAAACAGAGAUUUCCCAUAUACCUUCCUGCCCCCUCACAUGCAUGGCCUCCCCCAUUAUCAAUAUCCCCCACUGCAGUGGUACCUUUGUCACAAUUGAUGAACCUACAUUGACACAUCAUUAUCAUCUCGAAUCCACAGUUUACAUUAGAGUUUACCUUGGUGUUAUACAAAUGCAUAAUGACACAUAUCCUUAGCACACCCAUUUUAGAGAUGUAGAAACUGAGGAAAGGUGAGAACAGAGGGCUUGUGAAUAUAAUGGUAAGGAGUAGAGCCCAGGUACGUACCCCAGAGCCAUCCAUCUAUCCUCCUAACCACUGCUCUAGUGGUCCUCAAAGUGCCAGACCCCCCUGGCGUCUUUGAGACCCUUCCAUGAGAUCCAUGAGGUCAAAGAAAUUUUUAUAAUAACAUUACAACAUUAUUUGCCUUUUUCACCAUGCUGACCAUUGCUGACCAUUUCACCAUGCUGACAUUUGCACUCAUGGUUCAGAAUAACAGUGGGUAAAAUCAACACAGUGGCACCAAACUUCACUAAUAGUCAUUGUGUUCACACACACAAAAACAUUCUUGUGUGUGUGAUAUGAUAAUGUGUGUGUGUGUAUAUGAUAGUGGUCUUGAGGAAAACCACUUGUGUGAUUGUUUGAAUUGGGAGAUGAACUAGCAACAUUUUUCAUGGAACACUAUUUUUAUUUGAAAGAAUAAGAGUCAAAUUAAGCUUACUCACACUUGGAUAUUUUAUAGAUAAUUUCUGAAAAAUGAAUAAAGUCAACUUAUCAAAAUUUGGGGAAUGCAGCGAAAGCAGUGCUUAGCAGGAAAUGUAUCACACUGAAUAAACAUAUGAGAAAGAAGAAAGAUUAAAUUCCACAAUCUAAGUGUCCACCUUAGAAAACUAGACAAAGAAGAGCAAAUUAAAUCCAAAGUAAGUAGAAGACAAGAAUAAAAAUUAGAGCAGAAAUCAAUGAAAUUGUAAACAGGAAACAAAAAAAGAAAAUAGGGCCAGCCCUGGUACCCGAGUGGUUAAGUUCAGCAUGAUCUGCUUUGGUGGCCUGGGUUCAGUGCCUGGGCACAAACCUACACCACUGGUCAGUGGCCAUGCUGUGAUGGCAUCCCGCAUACAAAAUAGAGGAAGAUCGGCCCAGAUAUUAGCUCAGGGAGAAUCUUCCUCGGCAAAAAGAGGAGGAUUGGGAAUGGAUGUUAGCUCAGGGUGUAUCUUCCUCAGAAAAAAAAAAAGAAGAAGAAGAAAAUAAAUGAAAUCAAAAGCCAGUUCUCUGAAAAGAUCAACAGAAUCAAUAAUCCUCUAGCCAGGCUAAGACAAAAGAAAGAGGAGAGACAAAUUACUAAUAUCAGAAAUGAAAGAGUGGACAUUACUACGGAUCCCAUGGACAUUAAAAGGAUCAUAAAGAUUAUAAACAACUCUGUGACACAAAUUUGAUAACCUAGAUGAAAGAAACCAAUUUCUUCAAAGACACAAUUUGACAAACCCACAAGAGAAGGAAAAACCAAUUUGAACAGGCUUAUAUCUGUUGAAGAAAUUGAAUCAAUAAUGAAUAACCUUCCAAAACAGAAAGCACCAGGCCCAGCUGGGUCACUGGCAAAUUCUACCAAACAUUUAAGGAAGAAAUUAUACCAAUUCUAGACAAUCUCUUUCAGAGGCUAGAAGCAGAGGGAACACUUCCUAACAUAUUCUAUGAGGCCAGCAUUACCCUAACACAGAAACCAGACAAAGACAUUACAAGAAAAUAAAACUACAGGUCAACGUCUCUCCUGAACAUAGAUGCAAAAAUCCUUAACAAAAUAUUAGAUCAGUGGUUGCAAGGGAUUGGUGGGGGAGGGCUGAAUAGGUCAAACCUAGAGGAUUUUCAGGGCAGUGAAGAUACUCUAAAUGAUGCCAUACUAACGGAUACCUGACGUUAUACAUUUGUCCAAACCCAUAGAACGUACAACACCAAGAGUGAGCCCUAAUGUAAUCUAUGGACCUUGGGUAGUUACGAUGUUCCAGGGUGGUUUCAUCAACUGGAACCCAGGUGCCACCCUGGCGAAGGAUGUUGACAGUGGGGGGCUGGGUGUAUGUGCGGGCAGGGAAUAUAUGUGUCUUCCCUGCAGUUUUACUAUGAUCCUAAAACUGCUCUAAAAAAAUAAGGUCUUAAUAAAAAGAAUUAAAAAAAAAUGAAGUGAUCCUGUCACUACAAGACAAGCAGCUGACAGUAUUUGUUGCCAUUCAUUUAAGCUUUCAAGAGAAAAUUAGGAGUUAGAAAAACUUGUAUAUGUCACUGUGAGCUUAAUAGCUUCCUAUUACUUAAAAAUUGUUCUCACGACAUUAGUGGAGAUAUGAACAAAUGAGACUUUGUGAUAUUCUAUCAUAAACUAUGUCAGUAUUUGAAAGAUAUGCAUAACGAGUUAAGCAGUAUCGAUUUAGAUGGUCAAUGAAUGAUAUUACAAAACAAUUCAGAGAUAAAAGAUGCUUUCAAAGGGCAAGACCAGUGAAUUAUAAUGUAACAGCUAAUGAGAAGUUCAUUGAUAUGGUUUCAAAUUCCAUUUUACAGCUAAACUUUAGGGAACUACCGCUCGUCAACCUUCGGUGUACUAGCAAGGAAGACAGUGUGCAAUAUUUUGAUUUUUUUAUGUUCUUCAACCAGAGUAGGACAUCACAACAAACUGAAUGCAGAAGCCUAUGUGGCAAUGGAGCUCUCUUUUACUAAGCCAGACAUUACAGAGAUUUGCAAAAAUAUAAAACGAGUCCUGAGACAAAAAAGUUUGAGAGCUAUGACACUGCCUAUUUCACUUCUCGAAAAUAAAACAGAUGUGCUUACAGUUCUGCCCUCAAGUAAUUUCUCUCUUAGAGGGAAGGGAAAGCUAAAAAACAGGUUAACAUACAAAUUUUAAAAAUACUUAUAGUUGGAGAAAAAUGCUUUGGAGUAAAUACAGCCAGGAUUAUGAUGAUGAUAACUAGAGAGAGCAUAAGAAGGGUGUUACUUUAACUGGGCUGGUCAGGGAGGGUCUCCUUGGAGAAGUGACAAUAAGCUGAGAUGUGAAGGAUGAGAAGAUGUCAGCAGUGCAAUAAGCUAAGCUCAGAGAACAGUGAUUUGGGCAUGGGGAAUAGCAGUGCAAAGACCCUGAGGCAGUAAAACGUUUGGACUAGAUUCCAGCAUUGCAUCAUUCCAAAGCCCAUGCUUCACUUGCCUUCUCAUAAACCACAACUGAUUUCUCUUCGGCCAGCUAUGCUCUGGCCCUUGGAACAGUCCAUCUGGAAAAUGGAGCGGAGAUUGUUUUGAUUCUUCCUAAACGACGGCUUCGUAUUCAGUUAGUUGCCAGGUUAAUCAGGCGCUUGCAGACAGCCUCCCCUUGCUCUAAGGAGUAGAGCUCUCAGGAGCAACGCCGGGCAGCAGUGCCAGGAAACCACUGUUGCAAGAAGUAGGAACAGGGUGGAAUUUAAUUUUACAGGGAGACGACUUAAAUGGGACCUAUAAAUUAUGCAGCUCUUUUUCUAUACCUUGGCCUCAGCCUGGAAUUUUUCAAAAUAAAUUAUUUGAGCCAAUUUCACUGUGGUUGCAAAUAUUACAUCGUGCUCUGUGGUCUCUGAAGCUUGUGUCUUUUGCUGACCUGGCAUUUUAAAAAGCUGCGGAGACCUCCUGAACACAGUGGUGAUUCCCAGUGAAAGUGUUCUUGCUUUUCCCACUCCCCAAGACACUUACGGAGGGCUUAGAAGAAGAAAGCUGAACAACACCUGUGGAGUAAGUGAAGGAAACAAGAAGCAUUAUUUCACUAAAUGAUGGGAUUUCCUUAUAUUUCCAAAAGUCAGAAAGUAAUAUAUCACCUCUCCUUCUGGAGUCAGACUUUAUGAAGCAGUGAUUGUGCAAACACGAAGGGAACACCCGAGUCACUAUCCCAGCGCACAUUUCUCUGUGGAGGCACUAGAGCGGACGCAUUGGAGACCAGGAAGAGGAAGCUGCACACUGGUCAGCAUGACCCCAAACAGAUGGGUGGCCAGGACAGGUCCCGCAACCAGCAAUUUGAUUUGUAGGCGACAUCUCUGAUAACAGCCUUGCAGUGAAAAGAGCCUGUGUUCACAGCUGGAUGUCCUGUAGGGGAACCACAAGGACUUUCUCCCCAUGAUCCAUGAUGAGACAAGUGACCUCAGGCUUCUCUUCCGUCCUUAUUCUCAGAGUUUCAGUUAUUACCCUUAUGCCAGUGACUCAAAUAUUUAUUUCCUUCCUUUUCAAUUGUAUACUGGAUGUUUCACCACAUAACCACACGUCCAAAAUCAAACCACAUAUCCAAAAUCACUGCCAUUGCCCUGCCCUCAAGGUUGAUGUCAUCUUCUCUCUUCCCAUUUUUGCACAUGGCUGCUUUUAUUUUCCAGUUUUUGGGAGUCAAAACCUGGAAGCUAUUGAUGGUUUGUAUACUUUAUUGCUCACAUUGAACCUGCCAAUACCACACUGUAAAUAUAUAUGUUUGGGGGAACCGACAUGUAAGCCUUGAUCCGGGAGAGCCUAGAGCUUGUAAGCUUCAAGGCAGCCGUCCUAACAUGAUCCGAGGAAGUCACCCGAAUCCAGCUGGGCUUGAUUCUCUGUUCCAGAACAGAAAGUUGUGAGAGAGCAACUCUGAGAUGAGACUCCGUGGAGUGAAAAUCACCAGAAUAGAAACACCGUAAAGAGGAGAUUCAUGAAUUUCAAUUUGCUAAACUCUCUGAAAUGGACUUGGAAUUUUAAUUUUUUCCUGAAGAGUUUGCUAUCUCAGUUAUCCCUUUAAAAUGUCUUUCAUUCUCCUUCCAACCACUACCUGCCAUCCUUACCACCACUAGAAUCUAAGUUUGUAUCAUCUCACACAUGUUUUAUUCGUAUACUCCUAGGAAUUUUCUCUGUUUGUAAUCUUUCCCCAUUCCAAGCCAUCCUGUAACUGUGACUGUCCAUGGCUAUCUAUUGCUUAGAAAUCUACGAAGUCUCCCUUCUUCUACUGUAUCAACUCCAAGGCCCUGGAUGAACUGAGUAACUGUUAGUUAAGGCAGCUCCGGUUUUAAUGUCUUCUCAAAGUGAGUCCUUCAACUUGAUCAGCUGUGGAAUCCCACAGUAUGGACACAAUUAUUCCUGCUGUUACAGCUUUGAGCAAGCUUUUCCUCCUUUGGAGAAUGUCUUCCUCACUUCUCUCCUCACUUCUUUGUAUUUUCUCUAACUUUUUUGUAUUUUUAUGAAAAGCCAAGAAUCAUUAUGAAAAAAUCAGUCUAUGAAAGAGAGAGAUAAGGCACCUAAACUAUUAUAAAGAUGGAUACCCAGUUAUAGUGUAGAGGAAUUUGUUUUAGUGCAAUAGUGGUUGAGCUGCUCAUAUUAUCCGUUUAUUCAAUGUUUUCCUCCAGGAACUUGUGCCAGAGUCUUGGGCAGAAGCAGUGGUUAACAGUAAAAGAAAUUCUGCUAAAAUUUUGAUUGAGACCUUGAAUGCUAUGCCCUCUAGUCUAUAGAGGACCUGGGAGAAUAAAGAAUAAACUUAAGAAAGGAUGACUGGAAUAUUGUGGAUGCACACAGUAGGAGGCAGAAAGCUGACGAGUCACAUCAGGAAGGGAGGAGAAGCCAAGAAAACAACAGAUGUGACCAACAUCCUGACUCGCACUGUCUGAGUGAAGUGAAAUGGCUGGCACCGGGACGCGGCAGGGGAAAUUGCUACAUUCCCUGCAUGCACUACACUUGCCUGAGGAAAUGGCAAAAAUUCCAAUGUUAGCUGAGAGGAGUGAAUUCACAAGCCCCAAGUUACUCUCUGGGGACUCCAUAAACUAGCUGGGAAGGAACAAAAUUCAAAGAGACUAAAGUUCCCAUGAUUCUCAUAAUUGUGUAGUGAGAAUAGAAUUAGAGAAAUUCAGCUUCGCUACUGUGUUUGUGAAUUGAUUUAACCCAGAAGCUAAUGCAGCGUAGGAAACCCAAGUGUGAUCUUCACUCUGGGUGACUGCAUGUCCCAAUUGCCGGGGGUUUCCCUACUGUGUUUGCGCCUCCUGUAACUCAGAAAAUGUCCCCAUAUGAAAGAAAAAUUAUAAUUUUUCACCCAAUUUUUCCUUCCAUCCUACAAUAGUCACAUUUUGAAAUGCAAGAUGUUCCACUCUGAUCACACUAAAGACCCCAAAUUCACAGGUCCAGUGAGCUUCAACUUCAGGGCUCUUGUCUUAACACUGGGAAGAAACUUAUGGAGAUGGGUGCUGAUUCUUGGGCUGAUAGGACUUUUCUUUUCAACUUCUCAAUAGAUGCAAAGUUCAGAAUCUCUUCUGCUCUUGUCCUACUUUCAAAGUGAUUUUUUCUAUUCUCACCUUUUGUUUUCUUCUCCUUUUCACCUUCAAAGCCAGUGAGGUGACAUCGUUGGGGCGGUAAACAAUCAUGAUCGCCACUAGUGUCCCUUACGUUGUUACAGCAGAAGUUUGCUAAACUCAUUCCCCUUUGUUACGCCAUUAGAACACCGCAACAAUCUUGCAGCUAAGAAGGGUUUAUCCACCAUUUUACAGAUGAGGAAGUCAUGCUCCGGGAUAGCACGGGAGUUCUCAAGUUGUUCCUCUCAAAGAAGCAGUGUGGGGAAUCUGAGGUGAGGCCUCACAAUUUUAGUCCUGAUUUCUUUCCACUAUAUAAGGUUGCCUGGAAAGUUUCCCCACGGUUUCCACCAUUCUGAGCACUUGGAGGGGAAACUUCUGUAAAUUCUGCAUGUUUCAUCUUGUCACACACAAGUCGUCACUUAGUUCUCAGGAACAGCAAGCCUUGUAAGGGCCCAGUGACGAGCUCAAAAAUUACUUUUCUAGUCUAUAGUUCAACAAUUUUUUAAGUUACUUAGUAUUUUCAGGUCUAUCUUCAGUCUACUACGAAUUACUCUGCGUCUGUUCCACACACCUUCAAGGUGCAGGAGGUAUAUAUAUACGUGUGUGUGUGCUAUAUAUGUAUAAAGAAGUAGUACACUGGAGGUAUGUCUCCUUGCUGGUGUCUGCCAAGCAGCCUUAUACAAACAUUGUGUGGUUUACAUCGGCCAGAGUUUUUGAGCUCCAUGGAUAAACAAGCAUCUCCAACAGUGCCACACUUGAGAAGACACGGUGUACAGCGUGAGAAGAUGAGCUUUGUCAGGAUUUCACCAAGUACUUCUUGGUUUCUCUUAAGUAUAUCCUCAACUCCUAUUAAUAUUAAUGGAUAUUCCACAUGUUUUAGGAGAAAAAAAAAGUAUAUUCUUUGGCAUAGGAGAAACAUAAGAGACUGAACUCCUGAGAAAUUCUGAUGGCAAGGAAUAAAAGUGGAGCACAGUUUCAAGUUGAGUUGUUCUGGGCAAAAUGUCCUAGUAGGUUUCUGGGACAAUUUUAUUUCUUGGACAACAGGGACAAGGAAAUGAAGACCUCACUCUCCUCACUUCAUUGCACGUGAUACUUGAUGACCCCGGUAAGGCUCCUUUCUUACGUCAUGUAAUUGUAUUCAUUUUAUUAGUGUACCCGCCUUCAUCCCCGCCACAGUCGUUUCCCUACCACCCCCACCUUUAAGGUGAAUCCAUUCUAAAGUUUCAAUGUGGUCUUAGAUAUGUAUGUAUCCCUGAACAAAAUAUAGCAUUAUUUUAGGCGUAUAUGUUUUAGACAAAAAUGAUUGGCUUCUAGGUCUUGUUUCAAAUCUCUCUUCUUUUAAAACUCGAGACUUUUUUAUUGCAGUAA